rnacentral:rRNA from 1 species
AGAGCGAACGCUGGCGGCAGGCCUAAUACAUGCAAGUCGAACGGAUCCUUCGGGAUUAGUGGCGGACGGGUGAGUAACACGUGGGAACGUGCCCUUUGGUUCGGAACAACUCAGGGAAACUUGAGCUAAUACCGAAUGUGCCCUUCGGGGAAAGAUUUAUCGCCAUUGGAGCGGCCCGCGUCUGAUUAGCUAGUUGGUAGGGUAAAGGCCUACCAAGGCUACGAUCAGUAGCUGGUCUGAGAGGAUGAUCAGCCACACUGGGACUGAGACACGGCCCAGACUCCUACGGGAGGCAGCAGUAGGGAAUCUUGCGCAAUGGGCGAAAAGCCUGACGCAGCCAUGCCGCGUGAAUGAUGAAGGUCUUAGGAUUGUAAAAAUUCUUUCAGCGGGGACGAUAAAUGACGGUACCCGCAGAAGAAGCCCCGGCUAACGUUCGUGCCAGCCAGCCGC